GGAGGAAAAGAAACUAACCAGGAUUCCCUCAGUAACUGCGAGUGAAGCGGGAAAAGCUCAGACUGAAAAUCUUCGGAAUUGUAGUCUGGAGAAGUAUGGUCAGCAGAUGAUGAUAGGUAAAGUCUUCUGGAAAGGAGCGCCUUGGAGGGUGAUAGCCCCGUUCAUACCCAUCAUUAGAAGCGUACGACCUACUUUCUACGAGUCGAGUUGUUUGGGACUGCAGCUCUAAGUGGGUGGUAAAUUCCAUCUAAAGCUAAAUAUUGGUGGGAGACCGAUAGCGAACAAGUACCGUGAGGGAAAGGUGAAAAGCACCCCGAUUAGGGGAGUGAAACAGUACCUGAAACCGGAUGCUUACAAGCAGUUGGAGCCCCAUAGGGGGUGACAGCGUACCUCUUGCAUAAUGGGUCAGUGACUUAAUUUAUCGAGCAAGCUUAAGCCGUUAGGUGUAGGCGUAGCGAAAGCGAGUCUGAAUAGGGCGACUGAGUUCGAUGAAUUAGACCCGAACCCCGGCGAUCUAGGCAUGGCCAGGUUGAAGGUGCGGUAACACGCACUGGAGGA
rnacentral:rRNA from 1 species